GACGUAGGGCGCGAGCGUUGUCCGGAUUUAUUGGGCGUAAAGAGCUCGUAGGCGGCUUGUUGCGUCGGCUGUGAAAACCCGCAGCUCAACUGUGGGCUUGCAGUGGGGUACGGGCAGACUAGAGUGCGGUAGGGGAGAUUGGAAUUCCUGGUGUAGCGGUGGAAUGCGCAGAUAUCAGGAGGAACACCGAUGGCGAAGGCAGAUCUCUGGGCCGUAACUGACGCUGAGGAGCGAAAGCAUGGGGGAGCGAACAGG
rnacentral:rRNA from 1 species